UACGGGGGGGGCAAGCGUUGUUCGGAAUUACUGGGCGUAAAGGGCUCGUAGGCGGCCAACUAAGUCAGACGUGAAAUCCCUCGGCUUAACCGGGGAACUGCAUCUGAUACUGGAUGGCUUGAGUUCGGGAGAGGGAUGCGGAAUUCCAGGUGUAGCGGUGAAAUGCGCAGAUAUCGGGAAGAACACCCGUGGCGAAGGCGGUUCUCUGGGACGGUACUGACGCUGAGACGCGAAAGCGUGGGGAGCGAACAGG
rnacentral:rRNA from 1 species